UUCGCCCUUAGAGUUUGAUCCUGGCUCAGGACGAACUCUGGCGGCGUGCCUAACACAUGCAAGUCGAACGGAGUUAAUUUAAAUGAAGUUUUCGGAUGGAAUUUGAGUUAACUUAGUGGCGGACGGGUGAGUAACGCGUGAGUAACCUGCCCAUAAGAGGGGGAUAACGUUCUGAAAAGAACGCUAAUACCGCAUGAUAUAUCGGAACCGCAUGGUUCUGAUAUCAAAGGAGCAAUCCGCUUAUGGAUGGACUCGCGUCCGAUUAGCUAGUUGGUGAGGUAACGGCUCACCAAGGCGACGAUCGGUAGCCGGACUGAGAGGUUGAACGGCCACAUUGGGACUGAGACACGGCCCAGACUCCUACGGGAGGCAGCAGUGGGGGAUAUUGCGCAAUGGGGGAAACCCUGACGCAGCAACGCCGCGUGAAGGAUGAAGGUCUUCGGAUUGUAAACUUCUUUUGUUAAGGACGAAUAAAGUGACGGUACUUAACGAAUAAGCUCCGGCUAACUACGUGCCAGCAGCCGCGGUAAUACGUAGGGAGCGAGCGUUGUCCGGAUUUACUGGGUGUAAAGGGUGCGUAGGCGGCUAGGCAAGUCAGAUGUGAAAUGUAUGGGCUCAACCCAUGAACUGCAUUUGAAACUGCUUAGCUUGAGUGAAGUAGAGGUAGGCGGAAUUCCCUGUGUAGCGGUGAAAUGCGUAGAGAUAGGGAGGAACACCAGUGGCGAAGGCGGCCUACUGGGCUUUAACUGACGCUGAGGCACGAAAGCGUGGGUAGCAAACAGGAUUAGAUACCCUGGUAGUCCACGCCGUAAACGAUGAUUACUAGGUGGGGGGGGGUCUGCCCCCCCUCCGUGCCGGCAGUUACCACAAUAAGUAAUCCACUUGGGGAGUACGGCCGCAAGGGUUGAAACUCAAAGGAAUUGACGGGGGCCCGCACAAGCAGUGGAGUAUGUGGUUUAAUUCGAAGCAACGCGAAGAACCUUACCAGGUCUUGACAUCCCGAUGACCGCCCUAGAGAUAGGGUUUCUCUUCGGAGCAUUGGAGACAGGUGGUGCAUGGUUGUCGUCAGCUCGUGUCGUGAGAUGUUGGGUUAAGUCCCGCAACGAGCGCAACCCUUGCUAUUAGUUGCUACGCAAGAGCACUCUAAUAGGACUGCCGUUGACAAAACGGAGGAAGGUGGGGACGACGUCAAAUCAUCAUGCCCCUUAUGACCUGGGCUACACACGUACUACAAUGGCCAUUAACAGAGGGAAGCAAUACUGCGAAGUGGAGCAAAUCCCUAAAAAUGGUCCCAGUUCAGAUUGUAGGCUGCAACUCGCCUACAUGAAGGUGGAAUUGCUAGUAAUCGCAGAUCAGAAUGCUGCGGUGAAUACGUUCCCGGGCCUUGCACAAACCGCCCGUCA
rnacentral:rRNA from 1 species